rnacentral:rRNA from 1 species
CUACGGGGCGCACCAGUGAGGAAUAUUGCACAAUGGGGGGAACCCUGAUGCAGCAACGCCGCGUGGAGGAUGACGCAUUUCGGUGUGUAAACUCCUUUUAUAUGUCAAGAAAAUGACGGUAGCAUAUGAAUAAGCACCGGCUAACUCCGUGCCAGCAGCCGCGGUAAUACGGAGGGUGCAAGCGUUACUCGGAAUCACUGGGCGUAAAGGACGCGUAGGCGGGUUGGAAAGUCAGGUGUGAAAUCCUACAGCUUAACUGUAGAACUGCACUUGAAACUUCUAAUCUAGAGUAUGGGAGGGGGAGAUGGAAUUAGUGGUGUAGGGGUAAAAUCCGUAGAUAUCACUAGGAAUACCUAAAGCGAAGGCGAUCUCCUGGAACAUUACUGACGCUAAGGCGUGAAAGCGUGGGGAGCAAACGGGAUUAGAUACCCGAGUACUC